AUUUCUUAUUUUCUAACAUUAUAUCCUAUAUAUCGGAGAUAUAAAGGUUUGAACUUCCACUUAUGGUAAUCGAACUUGGUAAUCAAACACUCUCCUUGCAAGAAGAUAAAAGAUUUCAUUCGGGCAAGUUCAACUAUAGUUGGGAAAGGAACGGACCACAGGCUUCGGGCUCUGCCUUUCUUGUAUUUGGACGGCGCCGUUAUUAGGCUGCCACAUGGGCAUAAAGCGCUUCUCCGUUGACCUAUACCCUUGCCCAUACCCAUAGGUCUUAGUCUCUCAACACUCAACACUCAACUCCACCCUUCCCCAGAUGUCAUUGCAGGAAUGGCUAAGACAAAAAGUAUGACUAGAAAUCAAAAUCAUGAUGAUGAUGAUGAUGAUAUCAUCAUCAACCAGGAAGAGGUUCAAGACUUUUGACAACAAUGGUGUGACAUCUUGGUCAAAUCGUAACCAUAAUGUGCUUUUUUUAGCAGGUUGAAGUCUUUUGCUGAUAUUAUAUGAGUCAUGGUUUGACCCUUGGGCAUGAUACCAACACGAUACCAGAGCUAUGAUGAAAUCAUUAAUGAUGAUAAAAAUUGAAAAUGCAUGUUCUAUAAUGAAUGGAUGUGGUACUUCUCCCAUGAUUGUUCUAAGGUUAAUCUAUUAGAUAAGUUUUGACUUGUUAGCACUCUUA